ensembl:lncRNA
CUGAGGAGAUUUGUGUUGUUUUCCCCCCUCAGCAGACACCUGGAGAGGGGUUCGGGUCCCGCAAAACCAGAAACGGAAACUUAAUCGGUUCUCUGUCACCGAAAAGACGGGAAUUAGUCACUUUUGUGUUUGUGAAGAACACACCACCGAGCAGCGACAGAAAAACCCCAACUCCCGGCUUUCACUCGUCUCUCGAGUAGUUUUUCUUUUAUAUGUGUGUAUAUCUUUGUACCGAGCAAAACACACGUUUUCAGACGUUUCCGCCAUUUUCAAAAGUGGACUUGUGUCACGGGUAGUGUUUCCACGUCGUCGGUUGUGUUCGUGGGGGAAAGUUAACGCGUUGUUAAACGGCGGUUUUAACGUCAGAACUCCGGGUUAGUUUGGAAGGAACCGCGCGUGAGGGAGUUCUGGAUUUUACCGGAUCUUAACGGAAUCUUGGAGAACUUUGGGCUACACAGACUUGUAGAGGAACGCACACACACACACACACACACACACACGGAGUCGACUUCAUAGCGUUUCUUUCUACUGAGGCAACAACAACAACAUUGUCAGGUUUUUUUUUUUUCACCUCACAGCAAAAUGAGCCGUUAUUUUGUCCGGCUUUACACGGACUAGCUAAGCUAACCUUCCCCCGCUUUAGUUGUUUAUUUUUUCCCCCCUUCUUUUUUCUUUCUCUCAGCUAAUUAUUUGUCUUCCUCAGCUGUGCCUCAGGGGUGACGAGGCCCCUCGGGGAGCUGCUUGCGGUGUCAAAUCUCUGCUCGUGCUAACGCAUAGCCGCGCGCGCGGGCACGGAGACGCGCGUGGUACGCGGCGCGUGAGCACUCUCCUGAAGAAGACGCGCUGUGAAAGAGAGAGAGAGAGAGGCGCGCGGCGGUAUCAGGAGCUGGAUACCUGUUAACUUUUCUGUCUGCGUGCGUGCGUGCGCGUGUGUGUAUGUGUGGUUGAGAGUGUGUGGCUCGUAGCCGCGGGAAGAGCUUCGUGGUCACUGUUCGGCAUUCCGUAAUGGACGCGAAAGCCUUCGGUCAAGUUUUUCACCGUCCUGUUCUUGCGGUAUCUUGCACAGGCUCGGAUACCGGACUGUAACCGAGUCGCAACCGGAAUAUCUCGGAGGCGAACAGCGUUCAUUUAUCGCCAAGCGGAUUUAUACAGGACAAGUACGAUGUCAUUUGCACGGGUCUGCUUGGGAGCUCUGCUGCUGUGGACGAUUGUUUCUGAUGGUAAGCCAACUCGAAUAAUCUCAAAGUUGUCAUAUGAUAUAUGUGUGUGUAGAUGAUGGAGGUGGAAAAAGUGCAAGUGUCUUUUAAUCGAACGUUUUCCAAUAUGGAGGUGUGAUAUUACCCACUGGAGGCUUCAGUUCCAGUGCGGUAGUCGCGUGGAGAGAUCGGCUGACAGUGUUUGUGCUUGUCAGAUCAUUUGAAUCUCCUAUUCUCCUCUUUCUUCUUUAAAGCCGGUCCGGUAAUAAUUCCGAUAAGCCGAUAUUUCAUCCCGUUCUCUAAAGAAGGAUGCUCACUAACACACCAGCACCACGGCGUUACCGCUGCAGUCUGUCGAGCCUUUUCAC